AAGAAAAGUGAAGAAGAAGACAGAGGGUGUGAAGAUGAAGAUGAUGGUGGUGGUGAUGAUGAUGACGCCCUCCAGAAAGGCGUUUUUCUCGACACCUGUGGUGUUAACUCAGACGUCCCAUGAUGCACUGGGGCUAAAGAUACCAAUAGGAAAGUCAUGUUGUUAUUCUGCUGAUUAAAAAGAACAAAUGUCUGGUUUCUCUUUUCAAUAACGAGGCGGUUAAACAAACCUUCAUGUAUCGUCUUUGUCUUUAAAAUAUGUUUUUAAUAACACAUUAAUCUGAGCUUCACCGUGUUACCUUAAAGAGCCGGGCUAGCUGUUCCCCUCUGUUUCCAGUCUUUAUGCUAAGCUACGCUAACAUGCAAGAAAGAGAAGAAGAUUCACUAAAUGUUGAGCUGUUCCUUUAUUAUUAUUAUUAUUAUUAUUAUGAUGAUGAUAAAAAUGUUCCAGAUGUUCUGACAAACUGAUUUGUUUCUCCGUCGUAGCCGACCAGUGAGGAAGACCUCUGCCCCAUCUGCUACGCUCACUCCAUCUCCGCCGUCUUCAAGCCCUGCUCCCACAAGUCCUGCAAAGCCUGUAUCAACCAGCACCUGAUGAACAACAAGGACUGUUUCUUCUGCAAAGCCACCAUCACCGGGGUGGAAGAUUACAGCAAGCCUGCCGCCUCCUAACACACACACACACACACACACACACGCACGUUAGCUGUUACCUGUGUAAAGGACCGAUGUGUCAAACCGUCUCCCGUUCAAAGCCCCUCAAACAUCCCACGUGUCAGAUCUUGGAGGCUGUUUUGUCGAUCUUCAGUUGUGGUUUGAGAGGAAGUUAUCUUGAGUUUGACUUCACGGUGGACAGAGGACACAGUUAGUGUGAGUCGAUACGUCAUGAGAACAAUAGUUUAUUUAUUUAUUGGUCAUGAAUACAUAAUAUCUAAUCCAUUCAAAGCAGUGGUUUUCUACUUCCCCUCCACGACAUCUCAGAGGUAGUUAUUGUACUUUUUACUUCAUCAGUGAAAACCACGUAUCUCCAGAUGUGUUUGUGUUCUUUUAUGUGUUUGUGUUAAAAUCUAUGAAGCUAAAUAAACCUUUUAAAAAGCCUCUUGGAUCAGCUGGAAAAAGCAUCGCCGCUACGCUGCUCUUGUUUUUAGAGAUACGUGGUUCUCACAUGAAGAUCUGAUAGAAUGUGAUGCUUUGAUGUAGAUUAAACUAGACAACAGGAUACAGAGGAGUCACAAUGCAACACACACAUUAAUGCAGCAUGGACAUAUUUCCUUUCCUUACAUAUAUUAAAUGAAACAAUCUGAA